GAGGAUAUAACUCAGUGGAAGAGUGCGUGCUUAGCAUGCAUGAGGUCCUGAGUUCAAUCCCCAGUACCUCCA
rnacentral:tRNA from 1 species